GCUCUCUGGGGUUUUAAAUGUCCCAUUGUGCCCUCAUUCUUCCAACAGAGGAAAUGACGCCACCCACAGAACGCGUGCUGGGUUUUCCCAUCCUGAUGGGAAUGCCACAGUGGCCGUCCUGGAAGUGGAAAGGCACAGAGCAGGGACAACCAGCCCUGGAUCUGGGUCAUCCCAGCUGCCGCUGGCUUGGGAACAAACCCAGCAGGCUCUAAACUCCACAGAACCGAUGUUUUGUAUGCAACUCAUUUGCACACAGCAAGCACCCCUCUGUGUGGCUGAGAUGGUGCCUGAUGGGAUGCACUGGAGUGACAGAGGCUUCAGAGGGGAGCGAGGACCUGGCAGGAUGCAGGGCUAAGAUGUAAAUGAGACCAAGCUGACUCCAGAGCUAAUGAAGCUACGAGCUGUGGAAGCAAUUUUAAUUCGGUAAUAACAGCCGCGAGGAUUUCCGAGACUUCCGUCUGCUGAGAAGCUGUGUCGUGCAUUGAAAUUACGGCCCUCUGUUCCAUGUGGUCACGUGAAGCAUACUGACUGAUUCCUUGUGACGGACCCUGUCACGGAGCCGGAUGCUCCAGCUGGAAGACAACAGAAGAAAUCGCUGCUGCAAACAGCCACUUAGGGGUUAAAAUUUCAUACUAUUUUUGGAAGAACCAUUCUAUCUUAAUCACAAAAGUAAGUGGGGUAGGUUAUGUAGGACUAUGUUCACAUUAUAAUGCAAUAUGAUUCUAGACCAUUCCUAUGUAUAUACCUUCAUGUGACUGAUUUUAUAAAUAAAAAUAA
rnacentral:sRNA from 1 species